rnacentral:rRNA from 1 species
UACGUAGGGGGCAAGCGUUGUCCGGAAUCAUUGGGCGUAAAGAGCGUGUAGGCGGCCCGGUAAGUCCGCUGUAAAAGUCAAAGGCUCAACCUUUGAAUGUCAGUGGAUACUGCCGGGCUAGAGUCCGGAAGAGGCGAGUGGAACUCCUGGUGUAGCGGUGGAAUGCGCAGAUAUCAGGAAGAACACCAACGGCGAAGGCAGCCCGCUGGGACGGUACUGACGCUGAGACGCGAAAGCGUGGGGAGCGAACAGG